UACGUAGGGUGCAAGCGUUGUCCGGAAUUAUUGGGCGUAAAGAGCUCGUAGGCGGUCUGUCGCGUCGGCUGUGAAAACCCGGAGCUCAACUCCGGGCCUGCAGUCGAUACGGGCAGACUGGAGUUCGGCAGGGGAGACUGGAAUUCCUGGUGUAGCGGUGAAAUGCGUAGAGAUCGGCAGGAACACCCAGGGGGAAACCAGUCGACUGGGCAGCACCUGACGCUGAGGUGCGAGAGCGUGGGGAGCGAACCGG
rnacentral:rRNA from 1 species